rnacentral:rRNA from 1 species
GGAUGCGAUCAUACCAGCACUAAAGCACCGGAUCCCAUCAAAACUCCGAAGUUAAGCGUGCUUGCGCGAGAGUAGUACUAGGAUGGGUGACCUCCUGGGAAGUCCUCGUGUUGCAUUCC